AAUAAAUGAUAUCAAAUCACAAUUCUUAUUUUCUGAUGUGGAAGAUUUAACUUAGUGGCAACCACAUAGCAUAUUUAUAAAGACUACUAUAAUAAAAGUAAAAUAAAAUUCUACCUUACUCAUUGAUAGCUCUAAAAUUAGCAAGUCGUUCUGAUCACAUGUAAUGUAAAUAGGGUAAUAAUAUAUCACAUGUAAUAUAAAUAGGGUAAUAAUAAUUAAUAAGAAAGUAAAUUUAAGAGGAAAAGAUAAUGACUCUAAAUUCUUUCUUCAUAUUGAGUAAAGAGAUAAUGGGAAUGUAAUACCUUUCACCUAGGGUUGGCAAUGGGACUGGAUGGGAUGGGAUUUAUCAAUCCCAAUCCCAUCCCGUAUAUGUAAAUGGGAUAAAAAAAUGUCUCAGUCUCGUUCCUAUAUUUUUUUUGGGACAAAAAUAUGUCCCAAUCCCGUCCCAAAAGAGAUGGGAUCCUGCGGGAUCCCAUCCCAAUUGGAAAAAUUUUCAUUCUUAAUCGGUAAUGAGACGGGAUGGGACGGAAUUUGUCAAUCCCACUCCCGUCCCACAUAUGUAAUUGGGAUAAAAAAAAUGUCCCACUCCCAUCCCUAAAUUUUGUUAUGGGACAAAAAUAUGUCCCAAUCCCGUCCCAAAUGGGGUGGGAUCCCGCAGGAUCCCAUUCCAUUGGGAAAAAUUGCUAUCCCUACUUUCACCUACAAUCACAUGGCUAUUUAUAGUGAAAGUUUCCAUGUGCUUUAAUUUGUAAAAUGAAUGAACCAUAUGCUUAUUAAAUUUAAGCCAUAAACGAACUAUAUUAAAGUGAUAGUAAAUCCACUGAUGCACAACAAGCCUCAAUUUCAAUAACUUUAAUAGAAACAAAAAUAUAAGACUUGAAUAUAAGGUUUUAAUAAGGAUUUUCUUCAAAUUCUCAUUCAUUCACACAUUAACUGAAAUUUUUUUAUUCUAUCAUUAUAUAAGAAAAAAAUUAUACAAUAUACACAAAUCAGAACAAAACAAACUGAUGAUGAUGAAUAAUGAUAAUUUUUACUAUAUAAAUGAGCAAAAAAAAUUAUUAAUUAAACUAUUGCAUGAUAUUACUAACAUAAAUAACCCAUUGUAAUGAUAAUUAUGAAUAAAAGAUUAAGAAUUAAGAAUACUUUUUGGAACUUAAUUGCAAGAGGAUCUGUUUUUGUUUCUUCAAUCUAGGAGACUUAUAAAUGUGAAACCAGUUGGAUUCAUGUCAGCUUUAGGAAUUGGAAAAGAAGUUAAUGAGACAAAUUAUAUUUCAGGUUAAAAUAAGGAUUCUAGAGAGUAAAAAAUUUAAUUUAAUUAAAUGCAAAGCCGGCAACUCUUUUAAUUAUACAAAGAAAGUAAUUUUGGACUUUUAUAAUAGGAGAGAGUUUAAUUUAGACCUUUAUGAAAGAAAUUAUCAGGGGCUUAAAUAAAUAUAAUUAACAUUAAAAUUAAUUACAUACGUUAAAUAUGUAAUUGAAUCUAGGAGGAAAUUUUAGUUCAGCGGCUGUGGUCACUACUUGGUCUGUCACUGCAUGUAAAAGAGGAAUUAUAGUUGGCGAUCGAGGAAUAUAUGGAAAUCAUAAUGAGUAAGUAGCUAGAGUUAAUUAUUAAAGUUCUCUGCCAUUCACCCAGGGUGACUCUUGGAGAACUGAAUAUCUUUUUCUCGUACUAUAUACCUGUCGAGAAAAUUCAACUCCAAGGUUAGUGUUGUUCCACUUUAUUUGCAGCCUGAUCAUAAGAUGUUUUAUCUAUUUCCUAUCAUGAUCAUCUUUUAAUUUUCUUCUCGAGUCUUUUUAUGAUGAUUAUAUCUUUCGUUGAAUAGUAGGAGUAAAGUCCUUUACAGACAGCAUUAUUUAAUAACAUUCUAGUAUAUACGAGCUAGUAUUAGCUUUCUUAAUUUUGUCUAUUGUCCAACAAGGAAAGAACUUUGUUAAUAAAAUUUAUCAGGUUUUGUUUGAGGGAGCCUGAACCUCCAAAACCAUAAAUAGUUUUUACUUUCAAAUCGGAGUAAAUCUCUGUGAAUUAUAAUUCUAUAGCUUAAACAAUGAGGAAUACAACUGUCUUUCCAAAAUUCUAGGCACGUGCCAAUAAAAAAACAAAUAAAAUAACUAAACUAGAACAAAGCAUAGAACAUGUAAGAACUCUUCCUCCCUUAAUUUAUAGCCUUGUCGUCAAGGCUAAGAUCAGGGAAUUGAUUUUUGAUGAAGUCACGUUCCUCCCAUGUUGCCUCUGCAGGUGACAAGCCCUGCCAAUGAAUUAAUAUUUGGUGCUUCUUCUUUCGAACUCUGCGGUCGAGAACAACUUAUGGGUUUAGGAUCAUCCUUUCUUUGGUGAUGUCAAGAGUGGGCAAUUGAGGCCAUACCACCUCUUUGCCAAUACUCUUCUUAAGAAGUGAAACGCGGGAUAUAACAUGUAUUCUCUACAGAAUCUUAAAAGGCCCAAAGUAGCUGGUCGAAAGCUUCAUAUUUCUUCUUAAAGCCAAAAUAGUUAUUGAUGAGGCUGUAGCUUUAAGUACACCAUUUCACCAACUGAAAACUCUUUUUAUCGAAGCUUAGAAUCGUAAAUCUGUUUCAUUUUUUAUUGAGCUUCACUGAUCUUGCUCUUGGCUUCCUUCACAAUUCUAUCUGUAUCUUUAAGUUCUUCCUCUAUAGCUGCAACCUUAGUUAUUCUAGGAACAUAAGACAAAGAGUGUAGGAAGAGGUCGUCCAUAAACUACUUCAAAAGGCGAUCUUUUGAUCAUUGAGUACUAGCUUGUGUUUUAAUGAUAUUCAGCUCAAGUAAGCCACUUUGUCCAUUCUUUAGGUUGAUAACUUGUGAAACACCCGAGAUAUAUAUUUAGAGUUCGAUUCACCACUUCAUUUUUCCAUCAUUUUGAGGGUGAUAUUUGGAACUAAAGUUGAAUGUUGUGCCAUUGAGUCAAAAUAAUUCUUGCCAAAACAUACUUGUAAAUUAGGAUCUCUGUCUCACACAAUUGAAUAAGGCAUUUCAUGCAACUUGAAGACAUGAUCAAAGAAAAUUCUUGCCACUCUAAUGGUAAAGUAAGUAUGUGUGAUGGCAACGAAAUGUGUAUAUUUGGAUAACAUGUCCAAAAUGACAAAAAUAGUUGAUUUACCACUAGAAAGUGGCAAGUGGUGGAUGAAGUCCAUAGAUAUAUCCUCCCAUCUUUGUUCCAGUAUGGGAAGUGGUUGUAGAAGCCAGCUAUUGCAAGUUACUCCACCUUAUGUCAUUGGCAAACAUCACAAUUUUUAAUGAAUUUUUUUAUUCCUUGCCUCAUGUCUGUCAAAAAAAAAGUUAAAUCAAAUCCGCUGUAAAGUUUUAAUGAAUCAUUCAUCUGUGCCACCAUGAGAUUGUUCCAUUAUAGUAUGAAUAAAAGGGGAAUGUAUUGCAAGGUAAAUCUUACCUUUGAAGAAUAACAUGUCAUGUUGUAGCUUCCAAAGACCCAUCUUCUCACCGUCUUUGACUAACUUCACUAGAUUUUGCUACAUGGUGUUCAAUUGCACUUCUACUAUUAUUGCUUUAAUCCAAUUAGGCAAUGGUUGAGAUAUUGCAUAAAUUUCACCAGCUUUAUUCUAUUUAUGCUUCUUUGAUAAAGCAACGGCUAUAGUAUUUUUUUUCUUCCACUCUUGCACUCCAUUGCAAAAUUAAACCCCAUUAACUUUUAAAGCCACUUAUAUUGAGCAAGAGUUGUGAUUUCUUUUAGUCCAUAAAUGCUUCAAGCUUUGAUGAUCAGUUUGCACCACAAAUUGUCUUCCCAAGAGGUAAGGACACCAUUUUUGGAUAGCUAAAAUCUAGAGCCAAAAUCUCCUUUUUAUAUAUAGAAAGCAAGCGGUGCUUCCCUUGAAGGGCAUGACUGUAGAAAGCAAUAGGCCUAUCUUGCAUAAACAUAGCACUAAUUCUUGCUCCUGAAAUGUCACAAUUUAUGGUGAAUAAUCUUGAGAAAUCUGAUAAGAGUAGUAUAGAGGCAUAUAUCAUCACCUCUUUCAUUUUUGCAAAUGUUGCCAAAUCCAGAUCACGCUACUAAAAAGAGUCUUUCUUCAACAUGGUAAGAAGGACAAUUGUUUUACUUAUUUUUGGAUGAAUUUGUGGUAAUACCCUGUUAAUCCCAAGAAUCUGUGAAGAGGUUUUAGAGCUUGAGGUUGGGGCCAGUUGAGCAUUGCUUUAAUUUUCUCAAGGUCAAUGGUAACACUUGUAUUUGUGAUCAGGUAGCCUACGUACUUAACUUCCUUUUGGCCAAAUGCACACUUCUCCAAUUUACACAUAUAGGUUAUGAAGUUGUAAAAUGAAAAACACAGUUUCUAAAUAUUUCAUAUGUUCAAACCAUGAUUUAUUAAAAGUUAAGAUGUCAUCGAAGAAAACUAAGACAAAUUUUCCUAAUAAUGGUCUGAAUACCUCAUUCAUGAGAGUCUGGAAGGUAGAAGGAGCAUUGUUGAGGCCGAAUGGUAUCAUUGAAAAUUUAUUGUUUACCAUGAUAGGACCUAAAAGAAGUAUUCUCUGCAUCCUUUAAUCUUAUACGGAUCUGAUAGCACCCAGAAUGUAGAUCCAACUUUGAGAAUACUUAUGCACCUUGCAACUCAUUUAGUAGUUCAUAAAUUACUAAAAUCAAAAACUUGUCUUUCACAAGUAUUUGAUUUAAGGAUUUAUAGUCAACACACAUUCUCCAUGAACCAUCUUUGACAGUGAUUUGAUUUAAGGUUCUAUAGUCAACACGCAUUCUCUAUGAACCAUUAUUCUUCUUCAUUGAGAUGACUGAAGCUGAGUAAGAGUUAUUAUUACAGUGAAUAAUUCUAGAAAUUAUCAUUUCAACCACCAUCUUCUUUAUCUCUACAUCUGUAAGUGAAGAUAAUGAACUGAGAUAGGUCUUCUUUUUUUUUAAAUUGUACUGGAAUCUAGUGAUUACACGAUCAGGAUAGAGAUAGUCUCUUAGUUUCUUUCAGCACAUCUUUAUAUUUUUAUAGGAACUAUUGUAUCUGCGUGUGAAUGGUUGGUUGAAUAGGAGGAAUUAUUUCUAGAAAAAUUACCUUCUUUUUGGCUGUAUGUUUAAAUUCAUGGCUAUUUAUGACCUGAUUUUCUGCACUUGUUAAGCCUCGCAAGAUAAUCUUCUUUCUAACUUUAUAAACAAAUUAGAAAAAUCCCACUCAAUAGGUCUAACAAACUUAAACACUUAGUACAUAGGAUAACAUCAUAGCCCUCAAUUGAUAGUAAAUAUAAAUCUACUGGAAUUGGAUAAACUUGUAAUUUGAGUUGAGUUUAGGUGCACUUACCUAGGACUACCAAACUUACACCAGAUGCUAUCAUGACAUCUACAAAUCCAUAGGAGUUGGGUUGAAAUCCUGCUCUCGUAGCCAUCUACUUAGUUACAAACUUAUGCAAACUGUCAAAAUCAAUAAGCACUAUCAUAACUUUAUAUGUAAGAGUACCAAAAACUCGCAUUGUACCAGGUGUUCACAAUCCAACUAUCCUGUGAAAGGAGACUUCUAGCUGCUUAAGUUAUUGUUCCUCUAUAAUUCCUUCUUCCUCUAUUAACCACAUCAUCAUUGUUCUCUGCCAACAUAGCUUGUAUAAAAAAUAACUCCUUACAAAUAUGCCUUGGGACAAAUUUCUCAUUACAUUUGAAACACAAGCCCUUGCGCGGGUUUUAUUUAACUCUUUCAUGGUCAUUCUUUUGAUAAGAGUUCUAGAUUAUUGAUGCGUGGUGUUAGUGUAGUAAGAAGGACAAGUUGUAUAUUCUUGUGGUGGGUAAAAUCUUUGGCUUCAAAUAACCUUGCUAGUCUAGAGCAGAGGACAGAUUAUUUGGCUUGUUGGCUCUAACAUCAGUUCGAAUAGGUUCCCGAAGACCUCCAACAAAAUAGUUGACUAGUCUAGCUUGAUCCAUCAGUCCUGUCUUAGCCAAAAGUUUCUCAAACAUUUCUUGGUAAUCUUGUAUUUAACCUGUUUGCUGCGAUCGAGUUAGUUCGAUAAAGAAAUCCAUGCAUUGAUUAGUUCCAUACAACGAAUUUAGUGCUUUCUUAAAAUAUUCCCAAGAGACAAUUGACAUCUCUUGUCAUAGGAAUUGGUAUCACAGAUGAGCUUCUCCUUCCAAAUGAAAAGAUGUCAAAAGAACACGUUGCAUAGCCAUAUGGUUGGGUCUCAUUUUCCUUCAUAAUGAAGGAAAUCAAUUUUUACAGUUUUUGGCAAAUAUAACCGUAGAGACUGACUUUGAUGAUUUCAUUGAUACUCUAUCAAACACUUGGUGUGCCUUUUAGGGCAGUAGAUUCUUUUCCCUUAUUUUGAUUUUGCAUUUGAGCAUUGGAGUUCCCUAUUGACUCAUUUGCUGGUUAAAACUCUACGCUACUCUUACACUGAGCUUGUAUUAAUUGUCGUAAGAGAUCUCCUUGGCCAGUAAUAUUUUCCAUGGCCUUCUCCAGUUAUUCUACUGGUUGAUCCGUAGGCGAGCUCUGACACCAAUUUGGUAUAUACCAGAUAGUAUUAGCUUUCUUAGUUCUUAUUCUAUAAUAGGGAAAGAAAGUACCUAAUAAAAUUUAUCAAGUUCGUUUUGGGGAGCCCGAACCUCCAAAACUAUAAGUAGUUUUUACUUUCAAAUCAGAAUAAAUUUUUGAAGUAUUAUUCCAUAAUUUAAAUAAUAAAGAAUUCAACUUCUUUCCAAAACUCUAGGAACGUACCAACAAAUUAGCUAACUAAAUAGCAUGGACUCUAACUUAUUUAAAGCUAGCAAGACUUAUUCAAAGAAUAAAAAAUAAAAUAAAAUAAAUAAACUAGAACAAGAUAUAGGGCAUGCAACACAUUCAAGCAACCAUAUGCAUGUGAAACUAUCCUCUAAGAUGUUAAAUCAUGGAGUGGUAUCGUAUAUUGUUAUGUUUUCUUGGUGUUGUGUCAAAUUUAAGUAAAUAUGAAUACGACUCAUUUAUUAAUCGUGUUAAAAUAUCAAAAUAUGGAUACAUACCUUUUAUAAAUCAUACUAGUACCUAAUAUAUUUAAUGAAAGAAUAUCAAAUAUUUUAAAGAAUAACAAAUAUUUCAAUAUUAUUCUUAAAAAUAAGUCAACAUGAUAAAAAUAUGAUAUGAAUAAAUUUGUAACGUAAUAUGGAUACUACACGAAUAAUUAAUUUAGUGUUCAAUACAUUUAUUAGUUAAAUUUUCACUAAUAUUACCAUUUAUUAAUUUAUAUUAGUGUCAUAAACUUGAAAUCUUGUUGAAGUGUUCCAACAAAGAUGCGACAUUAGUCAGCAUAAAUAUAAAAAAGUUCGUCUCGUAUCCUUGUUGUGUAAUCUUAUCAUAAUCUAGUUUGCCACCAGUAUGCCCUUCUCCUUAAUGUAAGAAAGGAUUUCGAUUUAUAUAUAUACUCAACAGAAAUUAAAAUUUUGAUUAAUUAAUCAAUUCCUAUUCUAUUUGUGCCAAGUUUACCGAAUUCUUGUUAAAUAAUAGAUCAUUAAUAUAGUACUUGUUUAACUAGAAGGUAAUUAUCAUCAUCAUCAUCAUCAUUUGAGAAUAGGAGGUAAUUAAUUAAGACAACAAAAAUAGAGUAUAUAUUAGAAAAAUACCGUAGGGUCUUGUUAUGUUACAAAAUACUGUUAGUAACAAACCAUGAUUUGACAAGAUAAUUGUCAAAAACGGGCGGAAGUGGUAAAAAUUAUCAUCCUUAGCUUUUGACACCCUUAAAAAGUUCUUUAUAUGGGUGAAAAACUGUUUAAACUCCCAUAUUGGAGAUGUGUUACUGAUCUUUGUACAUGAUGGUGUUGGAAAGAUGGUAAUUGUCAGGAAAACCAAGGGUGGUGGGUAAGUAUUAAUUUGUCUAAUUCGAGAAAUUUGACCAAGUCAAAAGAGAUUAAUUAUGAUAAUUUUAUGUUGCAUAGACAUAGCAGAACUAUGUUGGUGGUGUUUAUACUAUCGUAAUAUUCAUUUAGUAAAUGGUAAUAGUUUAUACUUAGAAGGGAAAAUGAGAAUAUUUAUGACUUCAUUGCUGUUUACAUAGCAAAAGUAAAAAAUGAUAAAGUAAUUUUUGUAUUAUGUUACUAAAGAGUGGUAGUGAUUAUUUUUUAGUUAAACAUUUGUUUGAGAAAAUGUCAUGGUGGGGCAUUUGUUAAGCUGGAUAAUUUUAGAGAAUGGGCAACUAUUGUUCUAAGUAGAAUCGAGAAAUUUGAAAUAUCCCAAUUAAUUAGUUUGAUUGAUACGAAGAGGCUUGAAAAUUAAUUUGUGUUGUUAUGAGAAAUGUAUUGUUGAAUUUAGCAUGAAAUCAAUGUUACGGUUCAAUAACAUUGAUAGGCUGCCUUUUGAGAGGAAAAAACGAAAUAAAACAUUGAUAGGCUACUACUAACAAAAAAGAAAUUUUUAGAAAGUAAAAGAAUGGAUCCAAGUAAGAGCAGAGAGAAGAACAGUAUGAGAAGGGAGAGGAGAAGCGGGAGUUUAAAGGCAAUAAUUGUUAUUCUAGUGAACUAAUAAAAGAUUCCUUAUAUAGAUUUGUAACUAAUCCUAUUCCUAAACAACUUACACAGAAAAUAGAAGACUAAUUAACGAACUAAUUAAUAGAAACAUAUAAUUAUUCCUUAACAAAACAAGAAGUAGGAAAUAAUAUAAAAGUUAGGACUUAGGAGCCCAAAAGCAUAACAAAUUUCCACAGAUUUUAUAGAAUUCUCAUCUUGAAUGUGUUCCUCAAUGAUUGGCUCGAUGAGAUGAAUCUUCUCAUUCUCAUUAUCAUCAUCUUCUUAGUGGUGAGGUUGUUUACACAUAUUGAACACAUUGAGUUCCAAUAUCAUGUUGCCGAAAGAUAAUUUCAUUAAUCCAUUCGUACAAUUAAUCAAAGAAUUAGCAGUAGCUAAAAAUGAUCGACCCAAUAUAAAAGGAAUUUUUUUGCAUUCAUUAACAAUUGGUUCCGUUUCCAAAAUAAUAAAAUCCACAGGGUAUAUGAAUUUAUCGACUUGGACUAAUACAUCUUCAAUUAUUUCUUUUGGAACCUUAAUCAAUCUAUCAACAAGUAAAAGAGUGGUAGAAGUUGGUUUUAACUCAUCAAGAUUGAGUUGAUGGUAUACUGAGUAAGGAAGCAAAUUAACACUAGCACCAAAAUCAAGUAAAGCAUGUCCAAUUUUAUGAUCCCCAAUAAUACAAGAAAUAGUUGGACAAUCAAGAUCCUUGUAUUUCAAAGCACUAUUGGUUGAGAGAAUGAAACUUACCUGCUCUGCUAAAAAAGCUUUCUUUUGGACUUUACAUUUCCUUUUUACCGUGCACAGAUCUUUCAGAAAUUUAGCAUAAGAAGGUAUUUGUUUAAUGGCAUCCAGCAAAGGAAUGUUGACCUUUACUUGUUUAAAAACUUCAUAAAUUUCUGGAUUGUGGUUUGAUUUCUUUCGUUUGAUUAGUGCUUGAGGAAAUGGGGGUAAAGGAGGAGAGUUGGUCAUUUCUUCAUGGUUAAAAGGUUCGAAAACUCUUCUCUAUUCUCUAAAAUUGAAUCUUUACUAGUUUCACGAGGGUCUUGGAUAUGUUUUUCGACAACUUUACCACUACAAAAGGUUAUAACUAAUUUGACUUGACUUAUGUUUUGGUUUCCUGAAUUUCCCAUUUGAGGAUGCUGUUGACUCUUGGGGUUUGGUUCAGGUUGAGCAGGAAACUUUCCUUUUUCAUGUACGGUCAGAGCAUAUGUGAGUUUGGAGAUAGUUUCUGUCAAAUUGGUUAAGGUUUGCAUCGUUUGGUUAUUGAUCGACUCUUAUUUUUCAAUAAACAAAUGCAAUGUGUCUUCCAGAGUUUUUGUUAGUGGUGGGACAUAUGGUGGGUAACUCUGGGGGUUUUGAAAAUUUUGACGUGGAGGAACUGAUUGUGAAGGUUGUGCAUGGUUGUCAUUUCUCCAACUGAAAUUUGGGUGGUUUCUCCAACCAGAGUUGUAAGUUUGGGAGUAUGGAUUGGGAUUUGGCCUUUUGAAAUUGUCAACGACAUUUACUUGUUUGUGCAAACUUUCUCUCAGAGCUGGUAAGGUUGGAUAGUCUGCGUAAAAUGAUCAGUAGAAUCACAAACAUAAUAUGAAAUAUUUUGAACAGACUUUAAAUUAUCAUUCUUUUUCGACUCUAAUACUUUGAAUUUUCUAGCUAAGGAUGCAAAUUUGGCUUGAAAAUCAUGGUCUUCCCUAAGGUUAUGUAUGCCUCCACCAGAUGGAGACGAUUGGGGUUUACUUGAUAACUCAUAAGACCCAAUUGUAUCACACUGUUGUGCAUUCCCUACUAUAUAGUCAAGAUAAUCUAAUGUAUCUUCAGGACUUUGGUCCUUAAACUCAUCAUUACACAUCAUUUCAACGAUUUGUCUACCUUGGGAUGUUAAUUCCUUGUAGAAAUAAGACAUUAAUCUCCAUGUUUCAAAACCGUGAUGUGUGGGCAAAUGUUAAGUAGUUCUUUAAACCUAUACCAACAUUGGUAAAGGGUUUCUCCUGGUUUUUGAGUGAAGGUGGUGCUUUGUUUUUUGAAAGAAUUUGUUUUGUGGGGUGGGAAGUAUUUUUUCAAAGAUUGUGUUUGCAUUUCAUCCCAAGUUCUGAUAGAUUCUGACCUAAGAUUUUGUAGCCAAGUUUUAGCUUUAUCCUUUAGUGAGAAAGGAAAAAACUUAAGCCUGAUUAUAUUCAUACUACAAUUUUGAUCAGUACAUGUGUUACAGACUUCCUCAAAUUCCCUUAAAUGAAAAUAUGAAUUUUUAGACUUAAAACCAUAAAACGUAGGAAGAAGUUGAAUGAUAUCAUGUUUGAAAUUAAAACAUGAUGCAUCAGGAGGAAAAAUUAUGCAUGAUGAUGACCUUGUUCUAGUAGGAUACAUAAAGUCUCUAAGGGUUCUAGGUUGUUCAUGAAGAUUUUGCAAGGUUUGGUUAUCUUCGUACUCUGAAAAUUUUCCAGUUCCUAUGUCCGCCAUAUCUAAGGGUGGUGAAGGUGAUCUCCUAAUUAAUCUGUCACUAUUUGUACGAGACCAACGACGCAUGCAAUUCUAAUUAUGUGUGCUAAAUCAAUGAUGCAUAAAAUGCUAAAUGAAAAUUACAUAAAUAAAAGUAAACUGGAAAUUAAAUAAGCAAAAAUGCGAAAUAAAAAUAAACAAACUAAAAAUAAAUAAAAAAUAAAUUAGGUGAUGAAACCAGCCAUAAAAACAAAGUAAUUAAAGGAAACAAUUAACAAAAUAUUAGGCGGUAUUUUAGAACCAGCCAUAUAACCAAACAUAAAAGUAAAUAAAUUAAUGUACAAGAAUAAAAAAACUGAAAUUAAAAUGUUAGGUGGUAGAACCGACCAUAUAAACAAAAAUAAAUAAAUUAAUUAAAUUUAAAUAAUAAUCAGGCGGUUGAACUGACCAUUUAAAAUAAAUGCGAAAGUAAAUUUCAAAAAUUUAAAGAAAAAAAUUUGGUUUGAGGACUGAUUUGUAAAAGUUUCUAGGCUUAAAUGAAGUUUCUCAUAAAUUUUAUGAUAAUUCUAUGAUUAUGAGAGAGAGAAGGGAGCUUACUGAAAUUUUACGAAAUGAAUUAUUAGAACCAAACAAAGAAAUGACGUAAGGGAAAAUAAAAAACGUAAACAAUAAUUGACAAAAUAUAAAAAAUAAAAUGACACUAAAUUUAAGAAUUUCUCUAGCAACAACGCCAAAAGCUUGACACGACUCAAAAACAUAUUACUCUCAAGCAUAAGAGUGCCUAGUUAUAAUAUAAUCCGGUGAGUUCGGGGUUGAACUAUAGGAAAUUUAAAAUCUAGUAGUUAAUUUAAAACAAAGAAAAUUAAUUGCGCGAAAAAGAAAUUAUUUAGAAUCAAUUUAAAAUAUAAUAAGGUUACGAGAUCCACUCUCAGUAUUCAACUAUAAUUUUAUUACUAUCUUAUUUUUAUAUUUGACCUCACUUUUACCAGUUAAUUAUUAUAUCAUUUAAUUCUCAACUAACUAUUUUAUUUUUAUGUUAUAUAUAUGUUAAUUGAAAUGUGUGAUGGUCAGAAGGCGUGAUGGCCUCCUGACCAUCACCAACAUGAUUGCCAAUCUCUUUUUUUCUUCUUUUUUAUAUUAUUUUUUUAAUUUUUAAUAGCAUCUCCUUGAUUGACGAAUUUCAAAUUGCUCCAGCUUUCUUUUUUUGUUCCCGUUUUCAAUUCAAAUUUCAUCUUUAUUCCUGAAAAAUAUUUACAAGAUGAAAAUUAACAUAUUGCGAAUUAAUUUAACAUAAAAAUAUAUUUGGGGAGUAGUAAAUAAUUUAGAAAUAAUGAGCACGUUAAUCAACACAAUAAGUGAAAAACUAAUAAUUUUAUCCUUAUUAAAUCUACAUUUUUUAGUGUCAAUCACAACUCCAACUAGCUUAUUGCUAGGCCCUAGCAAUUUAAGCAAUUAAAAGUUAGCAAAAUUUCAAAACCAAAUUGAAAUCUUUUUUUUUAAAUUGUGGUUACUUCUUUCAUCAGAUUAAUGACAACAAUCAAAUAAAAGUAUAAGCAUUAUCUUCAGCCUAAAGAAAAUCACACAUGCACAAAACAGUUAAGUAAAAUCAUGUAAAAUUAUCAAUUAUCAUAGCUACAUUAAUCAAGCCAUUUUUAAGAAUGAUACAUCAAACCGCAAAACCUUACGAUUAAGAGUGACUUUCUCAAAAGAAAAUAUACCCCACAAAAACUAUCACUCUUAGAAUAAAAUGAUCAAGUAUAAAAAUAAUGUCACACGCUCUCACCAAGAUGAAGAAAUAAUGCCCACAGCUUAGAAUAAAAUUAUCUCAAGUCCAAGAAAUUACUAGCAAAAUUUAUUUAUAUUUUAAAGCAUCACCACAUCUUUUGGUUCAUAUUACCAACUUUUACUUUAGACUAUAGUUCUCUAAAAUUAAGAAGCACUUUAAUUAGAACGUAACGUAUGCUAUGGUUAUGGUGAACAAAAAAAGGUAAUAGGAAAAAAAAUAUAUGUUUGAAAAAUAGGAGACUUUUUUUAAUAUUACAAAGUACUUGAAUUUUUUUUCAUUUUAUUUAUUUAUUUAUAUAUACAUAUCCUCUCUUUUUCUCAUAGCACCAUUAUUAAGAAUACAUAAUCAUCCCUAUGGAUACUUUAUAUAGGCUCAAAGGAUUAAUUAUGGAUACUUUAUAAUAGGGUUGGCUAGAAAGGCUCAAACAGAUCAAAGAUUGUCUUCUGUCAUCUUUUAGAACUCUAACUAAUCUUUCAUAUCCACUAGUUCAAUGGACUUUUAUUUAUUUAUUUAUAUAUACAUAUCCUCUCUUUUUCUCAUAGCACCAUUAUUAAGAAUACAUAAUCAUCCCUAUGGAUACUUUAUAUAGGCUCAAAGGAUUAACUAUGGAUACUUUAUAAUAGGAUUGGCUAGAAAGGCUCAAACAGAUCAAAGAUUGUCUUCUGUCAUCUUUUAGAACUCUAACUAAUCUUUCAUAUCCACUAGUUCAAUGGACUUUCAGAUACGGUUGCACAAACUCCUUUUUUUUUUAAAGAAAAUAUAGAGAUCUUGUACAAUAAAUUGUGAAGCUGUAUAUGCAAACAAGGUUACUCUCUAAGGAUAAUAGGCUCAAAAACUCACUUGAACUUUUUAUAACAUGUACAUUCCUCCAAAUGGCUUAAUCAAUUUCACGCAUCAAAUUUCUCAAUUUACGUUUCAACAUGCAAAGGGGAAAACAUAGUGUAACAUAACUCAAGGUAAAAAAUAAUACAAAUACCAAAAUUUGAAAAUCAUCAUGUUAUCUAAUGUUAAAAUAUCACACCAAAAAAUAAAACUCUUUUUUUUUAAAGUUAAAGAGCACACUAAAAAAUGGGACUGAUUGCAGAAACUUAAAGGAGAUGAUUAAGAGAAAAAGAUUAAAAAAAGAAAAAAAGAAGUUAGAAAACAAUUUUUUUUUAAAAAUAAAAUUCUAAAAUUAAAAAGAUACGUUUCUAGAGACAAUACAUUCUAUAUUCUACCAUCUUCGACUCAAAUUUUUUUCAAAGUUAGUCUUUAUAACAAAAAUUAGUAAAAACACCACCAAGACUGAGACAUUCCACAAAAGACUUUCCACAACUGUCAACUAUUCCUUCCCCCCAACCUGAAGGGGACAUUGUCCUCAAUGUCUAAAGAAAGGAGUAGAGUUUAGAAGAUAUCACCUGGCCACUACUGGAAAUAUUUACAAAUGGAGAGUUAAAUAUAAUUUAUGCUUUUUACGAGGUUUACUGUCAUCAUCAUCAGUUGCCCAAUCCAACGCUAACGUCAUGAGAUCUAGUUCUGGUUUGUAAGCUUGCAAAAUAUCAAGUAACUCGUUAGCAGUAAGAGCACAAAUAAAUAAUUUUUUCGCUGACGGUGGAAUGAAAUAAUUUUUAAUUGCAUAAUUAAGAAAUGUUAUUAAGCCAUCAUCAAAAUUAUUAACAUUUAACAAACCGAUGGGUUUUUUAUGGAUAUUCAAAUGGGUCCAAGAAGCAAAUGUAAUUAGCGCCUCUAAAGUUGCAAGAUCUCCUGGCAAAAAAAUGAAAGUGUCAACAUGAUUUAACAUUUCAGAUAUUCUUUCUUGCAUACCUAAGACAACUAACUCUUCUCCAGUUGGUGGGUCUGGUAGAUAUCCUAAAAGUUUUAAGGCUCUUGGAAUAAUGUCUAACACUUGGCUUCCUCAAACGAAAGCAGCUUCAGAGACAAGCUUUAAUAACCCUCGGUCACCUCCUCCAUAUACAAGAUGUAGUUGUCUCUCUGCUAUAGGACGACCAAGAUCUAUGGUUGCCUGAACGAACUCCUUAUAAUUUCCAUAGCGAAAAUUCAGAAAGCACACAAAUAUUCUUAAGUUGUUUACUUGAAGUUGCUGCCAUCAGAACAAUUCUAAAAAAGAAAUAAUUUGGGAAUGCUUGAAAAUGAGCUCCUAUUUAAAGAUCUUGGUGAUGGACAUGAUGAUACACAUCUGUAAAUGAGGUGGUGUGUUUGUCAAAUGACGCGUGAAGCUUUUGGCUCAAUAAUUCAAAGGUAAACAAUGAAAAGAAAAAGCAAACAAUGAUUAGAUAUAAAAUCACACACAAGAAAAAUAAAAAUAAUAAUAAUGCAAAAGAUAAAAUAACAAUAAAAUAAAAGGAUAUUUACUAGUAGUUGUGAUUGUGGCUCAUAUCUUCCUCUGGUUUUACGUCCAGUAACGGCUUGAACACCCUCUAUGGGUCGAGGAUAGGCUUCCCAUCCAGUUUUCUUAUAAACUGGCAAACAUGGUCUUUUAGAGUCAGAUUCCCAAGACUAAAUUGUACACUUUCCUUUUGGAACAGCUUCCAUAAAUUAUGAAUUUCACGUUAAACAUAUCCGCUCGGAUGCAUCUCAAGAGAUCGUAAGAUAUCAUCCAACGAUUCUUUACUCAUGCCAUCCCUAACGAAUUUGAUUUUAUCUUCACGAUUUACAGAAACCAUUCCUAAAGUUUUACAACGUGGUUUAUUGCAAGCAAGUCUUACAUAGUGAGGACAUUUAGAGCCAAGUCGCUUAGCUCUUUUUUUCUUAGCAAAUGUACUUUUACCAAAACUAGGCAUGUAGGAAACAAGUGGAUAAAAAAAACUCACCUGCCAGUCAGACCUUUGCUUCAAUUAACCAGCGAAUAUCAGUAAGAAUCUCAUUAAUAAUUAACAAACGCAGUCAUUUACAAGGAGCUUUAUAAAUCUUCUUAAGAGCAUUUUGAGGCAAAGAAGGAAAACUUUGAUGCAAUUUAUGUUGUAUUUCUUCUAUGCUUGACUUUGAGGGUUCAGUUAUUGUGGGACACUGAGAAUACCGACUUAAAACGUCAUAGAGUACUGUUACCAGCCAUUUAUACAGGAGAGUGAAUCAAAACAAAACGAAUCAAAUCUGCAAAAUCAAAUCAAAAGUGAAAAAGAACAACAAAAUAAAACACACAAGAAAUAUAACUCACCUUCGUCCUUUUAUUGAAUUUAUCUCCAGUUCCAAUUGCAGAUCAUAAAUACCAUACCAUCCUCUAUUUCUUUGAGUUGUCUUUCUAUAUCUUUAAUGUGGGAUACUAACUCUGAUAGUUGUAGAUCCCAAAUAAGAUAUGAUUUACAAAAUCGGAGCAAUUUCCUCAUGUGAAAUUUUACAUGCAAAAGUUCUCUAAGAUGUUUGAAAAUGAUACUUCUCAUGGAGGUACUCGUGACAAGAAUAAAAAAAUUUGGUGAGCUAAAACACAAUUGUCAAACAACACAAUUAAAAACAAUGUAAUGCACUCCAUUCAAGACAUAUGGAAAAGAAAAAAAAUUCAAACAAUUCAAAUGAUGAAGUAACAAUAAAACAAGUUCACAAAAAGUUAAAAAAAAAAUAUGCUUAAUCAAGAUUUGGUGGGUCCCUCAAAUUGAUUUCAGUGUCUGCUUCACGUGGUUGGUAUUUCAGAUAUGGUUUCAAUUUUUUACCAUUAACUUUAAAUGUGACACCAUCCUUUGAAUUCUCAAUUUCUACGACUCCAUAUGGAUAUACAUAUUUUACAACAAAUGGACCAUUCCACUUUGACUUUAACUUCUUUGGAAACAAAUGAAGACGAGAAUUAUAAAGCAAUACUUUUUGACCAAUUUCAAAUGUUUUUCGAAAAAUUCUUGUGUCAUGAAAAAAUUUGGUUCUUGCCUUAAUAAUUCUAGAAUUCUCAUAUGCAUCAUUCCUUAAUUCCUCAAGUUCAUUCAAUUGCAAUUUACGCACAUUACUAGCAUCACCAAGAUUUGAAUUAAAAGCUUUAAUGACCCAAAAUGAUUUAUGUUCAAGUUCAACCGGUAAGUGGCAAGAUUUUCCAUAAACAACCCGAUAGGGUGACAUUCCUAAAGAUGUUUUAAAAGCAGUACGAUAUGCCCAAAAUGCAUCAGUUAGUCGAAGAGAGCAAUCUUUACGGUUUGGAUUAACUGUCUUUUUUAAAAUUUAUUUUAUCUCCUUAUUUGCUAAUUAAAUUUGACCACUUGUUUGAGGGUGAUAAGGGGUAGCAACUUUAUGUGUAAUUCCAUAUUUCUUCAUUAAGGACUCAAAUAGCCAAUUACAAAAAUGCUUAACUCCAUCAUUGGUAAUGGCCCGAGGUGUUCCAAAUCUGCUCAAAAGAUUUUCUUUUAAAAAGCAUAUCAUAAUCUUGUGAUCAUUGUGCCAACAAGGAAUCACUUCGAUCCAUUUUGAAACAUAAUCAACAGCAAUUAAAAUGUAUACAAAUCCAAAUGAUGAUGGAAAAGAGCCCAUAAAAUCAAUUCCCCAACAAUCAAAUAUUUCAAUGACAAGAAUGUGGUUUAAAGGCAUCAUGUUUCGCUUUGAAAUAGACCCUAUCAUUUGAUAAUUCUUAUACACUUUGCAGAAUACAUGUGAAUCUUUAAAUAAUGUAGGCUAAUAAAAUUCACACUGUAAUAUUUUACAGCUAUCUUUUUUGAAGAAAAAUGGCCACCGUAUGCUUCAAAAUAACAAAAUUGAAUGACCCUACUUACCUCGUCGUCCGGUAUGCAUCUUCAAAAAAUUUGAGCAGAGCAGUACCUGAACAGGUAUGGAUCAUCCCAGUAAAAACUUUUCACUUCUGUUAAGAAUUUCUUCUUCUCUUGGGAACUCUAGUCACAUUGCAUUUCACCUAUUGCAAGAUAAUUAACAAUAUUAGCAUACCAAGGCAUUUUGUUUAUAGAAAAUAAAAAUUCAUUAGGAAAGAAUCAUUGAUGGGUGUUGUUUCAAUUGAAAACUUAUUUGUAAGUCUUGAAAGAUAAUUUGCAACAACAUUUUCGGCGCCUUUUUUAUCCUUGAUUGUCAAGUUAAAUUCUUGAAGUAGCAAAAUCUAUCGUAUCAACCUUGGUUUGGCAUCCUGUUUCGACAUUAAAUAUCUCACAGCAGUAUGAUAAGAAUAAACAAUAGUAGAUGAACCAAUUAAAUACGAACGGAAUUUAUCCAAUACAAAUAUUACAGCAAGUAGUUCUUUCUCAGUUGUAGUGUAAUUCAUUUGAGCACUAUUCAAAGUUCUACUUGCAUAAUAUAUGACAAAGGGUUUACCUUCCUUUCUUUGUCCCAGAACAACACCAACGGCAUAAUCACUAGCAUCACACAUUAGCUCAAAAGACAAAGACCAAUCAGGGGGUUGCAUUAUUGGGGCUGAUGUCAAAAGAGUAGUUAUUUUUUCAAAAGCUUGUUGACAAUCUUUUGUCCAUUCAAAAGGUGUGUCUUUUAUUAGGAGGUUACAAAGUGGUCUAAAUAUGGCACUAAAGUCUUUUAUAAACCUCCUAUAAAAUCAUGCAUGUCGUAAAAAGGAAUGGACUUCUCUAAUUGUCUUUGGUGAGAGUAAUUUUGAAAUGACUUCAACUUUGACUUUGUCAACUUCAAUUUUUUUUGAAGACACAACAUGGCCCAAGACAAUUUCAGAAGUGGUUAUAAAAUGACAUUUUUCCCAAUUUGAAACUAGUCCUUUUUCUUUGCACCUUUUCAAAACACUUUCUAAAUUAUCAAGACAUGUAUCAAAAGAAUUACCAAAUACAGUUAAAUCAUCCAUAAAAACCUCUAGACAAUUUUCAACCAUAUCACUAAAAAUGCCUAGUAGGAACCUUUGAAAUGUUGCAGGAGCAUUACAAAAUCCAAAAGGCAUUCUCUUAAAUGCAAAUGUUCCAAAUGGGCAUGUAAAUGUGGUUUAUCCUGGUCUUCUAAGGCUAUAGAGUUUGAUAAUAGCCAGAGUAGCCAUCAGAAAGUAGUAGUAGGGAUGUCCAGCUACUCUUUCGAGAAUUUGGUCUAGAAAUAGAAGGGAAAAAUUAUCUUUUCUAGUGGCAUCAUUCAAUUUUUUGUAAUCAAUGCACAUGCACCAACUAGAUGGAAUUCGUGUUGGGAUUGGCUCACCUUUUUCAUUUUUUACAACAAUUAUUCCAGAUUUGUUUGGUACUACUUGUGUUGGACUUACCCAUUUACUAUCAGAGAUAAGAUAGAUAAUUCCUACAUUUAGUAGUUUAAGGACCUCAUUCUUUACCACUUCUUUCAUAUAAGGGUUUAGUCUUCUUUGUGGUUGACGGUUUGUUUUGGCAUUUUCCUCUUAUUGUAUUUGGUGUGAGCAGAUUAAAGGAUUAAUGUCUUUUAUGUCUUUUAAGAUCCAACCAAAAGCAAUUUUAUGCUUUUUUAGUACAGACAGCAACUUAUCUUUUUUAGCACGCAUGAGUUGGGAAGAAAUUACUACCGAAUAUGUCUGCUGCUCUCCAAGAUAAGCAUACUUUAAUUCUUCCUAUAAGGGUUUUAAUUUGAGCUCUGGUGCUUCCUUUUCAUUUAAUUCUUCAGGUUGUGUCGUAUCUUCAAAGUUCGAUUGCUCAUAAUCACUUGUAGGUACCUGCAUAGAAUCAAGUGUAGGGUAUGUGUUAGCAAUAUCACAGUCUAAUUCCUUACUUGAUUCAAAAGAACCAGCAAAAUAAAUUUCCACAGGUUUUAUAGAAUUCUCAUCCUGAAUGUGUUCCUUAACGAUUGGCUCGAUGAGAUCAAUCUCCUCAUUCUCAUUAUCAUUAUCUUCCUGGUGGUGAGGUUGUUUACACAUAUUGAACACAUUGAGUUCCAAUGUCAUGUUGCCAAAAGAUAAUUUCAUUAAUCCAUUCUUGCAAUUAAUCAAAGCAUUAGAUGUAGCUAAAAAUGAUCGACCCAAUAUAACAGGAAUUUGUUUGCAUUCAUUAACAAUUGGUUUCGUUUCCAAAACAAUAAAAUCCACAGGGUAUAUGAAUUUAUUGACUCGGACUAAUAAAUCUUCAAUUAUUCUUUUUGGAACCUUAAUCGAUCUAUCAGUAAGUAAAAGAGUGGUAGAAAUUGGUUUUAACUCACCGAGAUUGAAUUAUUGGUACGCUGAGUAAGGAAGCAAAUUAACACUAGCACCAAGAUCAACUAAAGCAUGUCACAAUUUUAUGAUCCCUAAUAAUGCAAGAAAUAGUUAGACAACCAGGAUCCUUGUAUUUCAAAGCACUAUUGGUUGAGAGAAUGGAACUUACCUGUUCUAUUAAAAAAGCUUUCUUUUACACCUUAUGUUUUCUUUUCACCAUGCAUAGAUCUUUCAGAAAUUUAGCAUAAGAAGGUAUUUGUAUAAUGGCAUCCAGCAAAGGAAUGUUGACCUUUACUUGUUUAAAAAUUUCAUAAAUUUCUGGAUUGUGGUUUGAUUUCUUUGGCUUGAUUAGUGCUUGAGGAAAUGGGGGUACAGGAGGAGAGUUGGUUAUUUUUUAAUGGUUUAAAGGUUUGACAAACUUUUCCCUAUUCUCUAAAAUUGAAUCUUUACUAGUUUCACGAGGUCUGGAUAUGUUUUUUUGACAACUUUACCACCACGAACGGUUAUAAUCGAUUUAACUUGACUCAUGUUUUGGUUUCCUGAAUUUCCCAUUUGAGGAUGUUGUUAACUCUUGGGGUUUGGUUCAGGUUGAGCAGAAAACUUUCCUUUUUCAUGCACGGUCAUAGUAGAUGUGGGGUGGGAAGAAUUUUUUCAAAAAUUGUACUUCCAUUUCAUCCCAAGUUCUGAUAGAUUUUGACCUAAGAUUUUGUAGCCAAGUUUUAGCUUUAGCCUUUAGUGAAAAAGGAAAAACGCUAAGCCUGAUUAUAUUUUCCAGCUCCUAUGUCAGCCAUAUCUAAGGGUGGUGAAGAUGAUCUCCUAAUUAAUCUACCACUAUUUGUACGUGACCAACGACGCAUGCAUUGAUAAUGAUGUGUGCUAAACCAAUGAUGCAUAAAACGCUAAAUGAAAAUUAAAUAAGCAAAAAUGCGAAAUAAAAAUAAACAAACUGAAAAUAAAUAACAUAAUAAAGGAAAUUUAUCUACUGACCACUUUAAGUGGAAUUCAACCUAAAAAAAAAAUUGUGUAUUUUUGAAAAAGUCUCAAAAAAAGGUAGUCGGUGGAUAAUUUCUCAAAAAUAAAUUAGGCGGUGAAACCAGCCAUAAAAAUAAAGUAAUUAAAAGAAAUAAUUAACAAAAUAUUAGGCGGUAUUUUAGAACUAGUCAUAUAACAAAAUAUAAAAUAAAAUAAAUUAAUGUACAAGAAUAAAUAAACGAAAAUUAAAAUGUUAGGCGGUAAAACUGACCAUCUAAACAAAAAUAAAUAAAUUAACAAAAUUUAAAUAACAAUCAGGCGGUUGAACCGACCAUUUAAAAUAAAUGCAAAAAGUAAAUUGUAGAAAUUUAAAGAAAAAAUCGGUUUGAGGACUGAUUUGUAAAAGUUUUUGGGCUUAAAUGAAGUUUCUCACAAAUUCUGUGACAAUUCUAUGAUUAUGAGAGAGAGAAAGGAGCUGACUGAAAAUUUACGAAAUGAAUUAUUAGAACCAAACAAAGAAAUGAUGUAAGGGAAAAUACAUAACGUAAACAAUAAUUGACAAAAUAAAAAAAUAAAAUGACACUAAAUUUAAGAAAUUCUCCGGCAACGGCACUAAAAAUUUAGCACGACUCAAAAGUAUAUUACUUUUAAGUAUAAGAGUGUCUAGUUAUAAUAUAACCCGGUGAGUCCGGGGUUGAACAACAGGGAAUUUAAAAUCUAGUAGUGAAUUUAAAACAAAGAAAAUUAAUUGUGCGAAAAAGAAAUUAUUUGGAAUCAAUUUAUAAUAUGCUAAGGUUAUGAGAUCUACUCUCAGUAUUCACCUAUAAUUUUAUUACUCUCUCAUUUUUAUCAGUUAAUUAUUAUAUUAUUUAAUUCUUAACUAACUAUGUGUGUGGAUAAAUAUGGAAUAAAGUACAUAAUGUGCCACAACUAUAUUAUUGUGUCGAUAUUAUAUCAAAAUACCACACAGAUUCAAGAGAAUCUAUAAAUUAAUAUGACAUAAAAAUAAUUAGAAAAUAAUAAAAUAAACUUAAAAACUCAUUUGAGAAAAUAAUAAAUUUAAUAGUUUGAAACAUUGAGCUCCACCUUUCACCUCAACUUAGUAAAAUUAGCCACUCAUAUUGAAAGAAAACAAAACACUCUUUUUAUUUGAUAAACUUUUGAAAUAUGUUAUAAGGAAAAUUGAUACAGAAGGAAAUAAGAAAAGAAAAUAAAGAAAGAUAGAAAUUCUUCAGUUCCCUCUUGGCUACAACUCUCUCUCUUGUCUUUGGUACUUCGCUCCCUUGCAUCCCCUUGCCUUUUAUAGGCAAGGGAUGCAUAUUCUUUUCUUUUCUUUU
rnacentral:lncRNA from 1 species